rnacentral:lncRNA from 1 species
GUGCUUCCCUCCCUCCUGCUCCCUUUCCCACCCUUCCCGGUGGAUGGUGGACGUGUGGCUUGUGUUCUGGGGAGAGAGGAAGCAGCCGGCAUUUGCCAGCCUGGCAGGUGGUAGCCCCUUGUGCCGUGGGAGGGAAGCCUGGAUGAGGGUGGGAGUCGGGGCUGGAAGGCCCAUGUCCCAGACAGCCUGCAUUCCUAAUGUGAGGGCUUAGAGCAAAGGGGUUUGACUGCUCCAGGGUGAGGAGAGAAAAGGUUGUGCAGUCCUAGACAGUGGUGAGCAGGGCAGGCCCGGACAGGACACUGAAGUGCAUGGUGUGAACAUGACAGGUGUUCAACGAGAGAGAGAGACAGAGACAGAGACAGAGAGAACACCAUCCUGGGGCCUGGGAGGCAGGAAAGAGACUCCGACCGCAGACGAGCACCGCGAUGUCCGGGUAGGGGAAGCUCCGCCCUUCCGCACCCCAUUUCUUUUGCCUCUCUGUGCCUUGGAGGCCCAGAGUAGGGCUGAGGUGUGGGGAGGUGCCAACAGUCCGCAAGUCACGAGGUAAACCCCAGCUUGGCCACUUGCCUGGCAGGGGCCCCACAGAAGUCCCUGCAUAUGAAUAGGUGCUUGUCCAAAUUCAUUCCAGCAGCAGCGCCUAUGGACGGGGAGGACAGGAGGAGCAGCCAUGGGGUGUGUGAGGAAGACAGAGCCCCGUCUCCAGGGAGCUGGAAACUUCCCGCAGGCACCACCAUGUGGGACCAGUUCACUGCUGGGAUCAGCAGACCCCUACGUUCCUGCUCUGCUGGAAGGAGGGCGCCCUGCCCGGUUUCCUCCCCGUGAGUGCCAAAUGACACUUUCAGAAAGUCCUGGGAUCUCAGCCGUGGGCAUUCGGGCCAGCUCUGCAUCCCAAAUCCUCCAGAAGCGCACAGGUAAGACACUUAACGAAUUCCCUCCUCUGUCUCUCUUCUAGGAGCCCAAACGGACAAACCCAGGCCUUGGUCCAGGAAAGCUGCUCUCCUCACACAUUUGCCGCUCUGACCCAUCUCCCCACUUUCUCACUGACUCCUCGUGUUCUCACAACUUGUCGGCCCUGGUGCCUGUGUGAGGUAUAAUCCUCACCUGCCUCCUCCCUGGGUCCCCGCUUGCCCUGUGGCCCAGACCUCUGGAGCACAUCCCUGGCCCAGCCACUGAUGCAGCCUUUAAUCUCACUGGGUGCUCUUCGCGCGCUCAGCCAGGGAGGCUGCUACCUGCGCAAGUGGCCGUGACACCCAUUGUGCGGGAGACAGCACCCCAGGGCUGGGUUUUAUGGAGGCCUGAUGAUCCCAGGAACCCAAGUCCUGGCUGAACUGGCGUUGACCACAUGGGCUUAGGCUCUUGGGGACAAGGGCUUCUGGGUCACACCUAGAACACAGGAACGUGCCAUGCCAGCAUCAGGUCAGCCAACAAAUGCAACUCAUCUGAAGGGACUGUUAAUGAC